rnacentral:rRNA from 1 species
CCUACGGGUGGCAGCAGUGGGGAAUAUUGCACAAUGGGGGAAACCCUGAUGCAGCGACGCCGCGUGAGUGAAGAAGUAAUUCGUUAUGUAAAGCUCUAUCAGCAGGGAAGAACAUGACGGUACCUGAUUAAGAAGCCCCGGCUAACUACGUGCCAGCAGCCGCGGUAAUACGUAGGGGGCAAGCGUUAACCGGAUUUACUGGGUGUAAAGGGAGCGUAGACGGCAGUGCAAGUCUGGCGUGAAAGCCGGGGGCUCAACCUCCGGACUGCUCUGGAAACUGUACGGCUGGAGUGCAGGAGAGGUAAGUGGAAUUCCUAGUGUAGCGGUGAAAUGCGUAGAUAUUAGGAGGAACAUCAGUGGCGAAGGCGACUAUCUGGACUGUAACUGACGUUGAGGAGCGAAAGCGUGGGGAGCAAACAGGAUUAGAUACCCUAGUAGUC